UGAACCAAGAAGCCACUGCUGCAAAGCUCUUUCCCCCCUGCUGCAACAUGGGUUCAGGUUUGUUGAGCGUUUCUAAGGGUUAGGACAUGAUUCCAAGGGCCAGCAGAAUGCGGAGCUGAGUGUUUGAAGAGUUAACAGAUACACAGAGACUGCUACCGAGAAACACAGGGAAGACGUUGCUGUCACUUAACUGAGAAGAUUGAUGGGGGCUGGAUCUCUAACAAGGCUAGAAAGGUUGGGUUGAGUUAAAAUUAGAAGUUGACAACAAAUUGGAUGUUCUUCACAUUUGGGAUCUGAACGAAGGGAGGAGAAUGAAGCUAACUGCCACUUAAUUUGGCAGUAAUUGGUGGAGAUUGAUGAUGAUAAAUAGUUCCCAGUGGUCUAGGAAGAAUGAGUUGCUGUAUAUUUGUAUGAAUUCAGGUUGCAGGGAAAGAGAUACAAAUGUCUUGGAAAUCAACAGUGAUUCCCAUAUGUGCCACCAGCAAACUGCACACAGGUUGUUUGUAGAAAGGCCUGAACGAGUAGUUCUUCACAUUUCAAGCUAGUUGUGACCAGUCUUCCUGCCUAUUUUCUUUGCUGCCGGUGUGCCAUGAUUCUUGAGGGUCUAGUGGGUGUUUGUCAAGGGUGUAGAACAAGUUUUGAGUUUCAGAACAACGCGGAAUUAUUGGCUUUGGAGGAAGAGGAUUGGGUUUGAUUUGGACUGAACAGAGUUUUGGUGCCAAGACAGUAAAGAAGACUUGCUGCUAUUAGUUCCUUUUGAUGAAUGACAGAAGAUUGAGGAAGGAGUUUUCGCAAUCUGCAAUGUUAUACCGAUGGUACUGAUGGGUUCUUGCCAAGGAUUAAGAAGUCAUAGCGAGUUUUGAGCUUAGUUUGGCCGAGAAGUCAGUUGGAAUUAAAGUGAACUACUGCCGUUGAUUAUUGUGGAUGGAUGAAAGAGAUUAAGCGGUGAAUUAGAGUUUUGUGAAUGAAUGGGAGACUUGGGUCGUUAUCUGUUUAGAUAUGAGCUAUAAAAGAAGACCUAACCCUACAGAAAACACACAUCUCAUACCCCUGCGACUGCUUCACCACCUACAUGGAGGAGCUUUGCUCCUCUCCAAACCCUUCCAUCGCCACCUUCUCAUACCAUCAGCAUACCACCAUCUGUAUCCCCACUACCAUCUGCAUAACAUUCAUCUCACAGCAUAUCCGCUUGCAUCCACCAGCAUACACAAUUCCAUCUUCACCACCAUCCUUGCAUACCACCAGUUCCCAGUACCACCUGCAUACAUCACCAACAACAGCUGGAGUUCAAGUUCCAUCCUUCAUUCAUAACAGCAGCUUCCAUCACCAGCACUCCACUUGUUCGCAGCAACUUCAACUCGCAACAACGGAAAAACAGCAGACCACCUCCAGAAUUGCAGUCUAUACCUCCAGUUCAUACGCCGCCGCCAUACUACCACCCGUUCGCAUAAGUUCCACCAGUCCACAUGUUGCUGCCUUGGUUUGCUAGUUUGGUUUGCUGUUACAGUUUUCAUAUUUUUAUUUUAUUUCACCAUGAACUCCAGUUGCUAAUUGCAUUUGAUUAGGGAUGAUUUCGACGUCCGAACAUGAUUCAUAAUUGAUAUUUAAAAAACCUGUUUUCUUGCAAUUGUCUUAUUAUUGUUCAUUCUCUACUGUACCAAUAAUGAUUAUGAGUUGUUUCUCAAUCAUUUAAGUUGCAAAUUGAAUGGUUGUUUGAUGAUUCUAUUGCUAAUUCGAGACUUCUUCGACCCGUAAUUGUCUAGAUGUUCCGUGUACAAGUAGCGAUAUAUAGGUAUUGAUGAUGGGAUUUUGUUAAGUACCCGUAUGUAUGAAUGACACUAGUAGGUAAUUCAUGACACUAGUAGGUAAUUCAUGUUUUUGAUUUUUAUCAUUAGGAAUAACCUUAUCUCAUAAAACUUUAGGCAUUAGUUUAAGUCACACCUAGAGAGCGUUCUUUUAGGAAACUAGACAAGUAGACUCCGAAAGUCGAGCGCUUCCGUAUCCGGUGAAUUUUGGAGAUAAUAACGGAAUAGUCGAGCGUACUAAUUAUUCUAGGGUUGUUAGUAACGGGAUACUUUGGAGAAACUAGCUAUAUUAAUAAGAUUCAUGUUUUGUGACCGAGAAAAAGUCUUUGAUCAUUCUCAUCCUCAUAUUUGCAUUUAUUUCUGUCCAUAUUGUCUUGCAUUAUUCAUUCGGAAAUUGAGUUGACAAUUUUUGACUCUCCACUACUCCCUUGGGACGAACCUGCUUGUCCGUAUACUACUAGUUAGUUUAAAGAGAAGUAAGGAAAUUAUUAUUUGCGAGUGGCGCCGCUGUCGGGGAGGCAGUGGCAAGUUUCGUUGUUAUUUUUAUUCUUAGUUUUUAUUUUUGCAUUUGGUUACAUUUCCAAUUUAUUAAAUCACUCUUUUAGAAAUUAUAUUUCAGGUACUAAUUCAUUGGUGAAUGUGUGGAGAGGACAAAGAGGAAGACAACACAACGGGAGCUCCACCACCUGCUCCAAGAACAUUAAAGGAACUCACUUCUACAAAUCUUGACCAGCAGGCUCUAUGUAUUCAGCUGGAUGGAACCAUUGAAUUGAAGCCGCAAUUGAUUCACUUGUUUCCCAAAUUCAGUGGGUUAGCGGGAGAAGAUCCUAACCAUCACUUGCAAUAAUUUCACCAUGUUGUGACUAGUUUGAAGCAAGUAACUUCAGAUGGUGAUAUGGCUAUGAUGACAGCCAUUACGUUUUCACUUAUAGACUCUGCAGGAGAUUGGUUGUACUAUUUACCUCCUGGGAGUAUAACCACAUGGAAUGGGAUGAAGAGGUUAUUCCUUGAGAAGUAUUUUCCGGCAUCAAAAGCAGCAGUGAAUCGCAAGGAAAUUUGUGGUAUUGUGCAGACAUCGGGAGAGACUCUCUAUGAGUAUUGAGAGCGCUACAAGAAGCUUUUAGCUAGAUAUCCACAUCACCAAAUCAGUGAUCAACUUGUCAUUCAAUAUUUCUAUGAGGGAUUGCUUUUUAAUGAAAUACAAUUGAUCGAUGCCGCAAGUGGUGGUGCACUUACGAACAAGACCAUUGCUGAAGCUAGAAGCUUGCUAGAGAACAUGACUGCAAACACGCAGCAAUUCUACACUAGAGGUGAACCAAUGGUAAGUAACGGUAUUUGGCAAUGGUUCAGUGACUGUGUGCAAGGAGUUUUUGACAGUAGCUGGGACGUGACUUAGAGGCUACAAAAUAUGGAGAUUUGGGUACAAUUUGGAUCCGAAUUUGGUAGUCAGUAAGGUUGGUGAAUGUUGAGUAUUGCUGGGUUUGUGGGAGGUUACGAUAUUGGAGGAGAAGAAAAGAUAUAUAGAGGCGCAUAAAUACAG